GGAGGGUUGCCCGAGCGGCCUAAGGGACCAGUCUUGAAAACUGUCGUGGCUUCGCGCCACCGUGGGUUCAAAUCCCACACCCUCCGCC
rnacentral:tRNA from 1 species